rnacentral:lncRNA from 1 species
UCCCCUCAAAUCUGUGCACACAACAAACAGCUACUGUAACUCUAGCACCUGUACCAGCCAGAAUGUCAUUCUGACAUCUGCUUCAACAUCAACACCUGUGCACCAUAUCAGACAUCCUUUUUGACAUCUGUAAACAGAACAACAUUCUGUAUUAGCACCUGUGCACUUCUUUGAAUAAUAGCUGUCCUUCUGUCCAGCCACAUACAACUUCCACAACAGCUUCCAUAUCAGCACUUCUCCCCCCUUUUUAGUCAAAAUUGACCAAAGGUGACCUUAUU